rnacentral:tRNA from 1 species
UCCCUGGCAGUCCAGUGUUUAGGACUUGGAACUUGCACUGCCAAGGGUGCAGGUUUAAUCCCUGGUCGGGGAA